UUGGGAAUAUUGGACAAUGGGCGAAAGCCUGAUCCAGCCAUGCCGCGUGAGUGAUGAAGGCCUUAGGGUUGUAAAGCUCUUUUACCCGGGAUGAUAAUGACAGUACCGGGAGAAUAAGCCCCGGCUAACUCCGUGCCAGCAGCCGCGGUAAUACGGAGGGGGCUAGCGUUGUUCGGAAUUACUGGGCGUAAAGCGCGCGUAGGCGGCUUUGUAAGUUAGAGGUGAAAGCCCGAAGCUCAACUUCGGAAUUGCCUUUAAGACUGCAUCGCUAGAAUCGUGGAGAGGUGAGUGGAAUUCCGAGUGUAGAGGUGAAAUUCGUAGAUAUUCGGAAGAACACCAGUGGCGAAGGCGACUCACUGGACACGUAUUGACGCUGAGGUGCGAAAGCGUGGGGAGCAAACA
rnacentral:rRNA from 1 species